CGCGUAGGAAUCUACCUUAUGGUGGGGAAUAGCCCGGAGAAAUCCGGAUUAAUACCGCAUAAGUUCUAUGGAAGAAAGCGGGGAAUCUUAGGACCUCGUGCCAUUAGAUGAGCCUGCGUAGGAUUAGCUAGUUGGUGAGGUAAAGGCUCACCAAGGCGACGAUCCUUAGCUGGUCUGAGAGGAUGAUCAGCCACACUGGGACUGAGACACGGCCCAGACUCCUACGGGAGGCAGCAGUGGGGAAUAUUGCACAAUGGGCGCAAGCCUGAUGCAGCCAUGCCGCGUGUGUGAAGAAGGCCU
rnacentral:rRNA from 1 species